rnacentral:rRNA from 1 species
CCUACGGGAGGCUGCAGUGGGGAAUAUUGCACAAUGGGGGAAACCCUGAUGCAGCGACGCCGCGUGAGUGAGGAAGUAUUUCGGUAUGUAAAGCUCUAUCAGCAGGGAAGAAAAUGACGGUACCUGACUAAGAAGCCCCGGCUAACUACGUGCCAGCAGCCGCGGGCAUACGUAGGGGGAAAGCGUUAUCCGGAUUUACUGGGUGAAAAGGGAGCGUAGACGGAAUUGCAAGUCUGAUGGGAAAAUCCCGGGUCCAACCCCGGGACUGCAUUGGAUACUGACUUUCGAGAGUGUCGGAGAGGCAAGUGGAAUUCCUGGUGAAGCGGUGAAAUGCGUAGAUAUAAGGAGGAACACCAGGGGCGAAGGCGGCUUGCUGGACGAUGACUGACGCUGAGGCUCGAAAGCGUGGGGAGCAAACAGGAUUAGAUACCCCUGUAGUC